AUUGAACGUUGGCGGCAGGCUUAACAAAUGCAAUUGGACCGAGUGGGGGAUGGGUGAGUAAUGUCUGGGAAAUUGCUAGAUGGACGGGGAUAACUAGUGAAAACGUUAACACAUACGGUAUACCAGCAGAUGUGCCUCGCUGGGAGUAGCGAGUUGGUGGGGUAACGGCUCACCAAGGCGACGAUCCCUAGCUGGUCUGAGAGGAUGACCAGCCACACUGGAACUGAGACACGGUCCAGACUCCUACGGGAGGCAGCAGUGGGGAAUAUUGCACAAUGGGCGAAAGCCUGAUGCAGCCAUGCCGCGUGUAUGAAGAAGGCUUUCGGGUUGUAAAGUACUUUCAGCGGGGAAGCGUUACCCGCAGAAGAAGCACCGGCUAACUCCGUGCCAGCAGCCGCGGUAACAC
rnacentral:rRNA from 1 species